rnacentral:rRNA from 1 species
CCUACGGGAGGCAGCAGUGGGGAAUAUUGCACAAUGGGCGAAAGCCUGAUGCAGCUAUGCCGCGUGUAUGAAGAAGGCCUUAGGGUUGUAAAGUACUUUCAGCAGGGAGGAAAGAAAUAAAACUAAUAAUUUUAUUUUGUGACGUUACCUGAAGAAGAAGCACCGGCUAACUCCGUGCCAGCAGCCGCGGUAAA